AUUACUCUCUACUUUCACGCAUCAAAAAUUUGGAGAAAUACGUAAGAACAUCUGAAACAGGAUUAUCACAACAUUUUCAAACAGCAAUAAAUAUAGAUACGUCUCACUUGCCAUUUGGUUUAUAACUUUAAAUUAACAUAUUCCACACUAAAACAGAUAAGUAACAAACCAUUUCUGGUAUAUUGCGACUAAAAAUUUGACGCACAAAUUAGCUUUAGUACCCAUAUGAAAUUCUCUUCAUCAUCCUCAUGAACUCGUCAGCAUUAACUUCACCAUCGCCAGAAUAUUUCACAGACAAUAAACUCAUAAAUCAAG
rnacentral:lncRNA from 1 species